rnacentral:rRNA from 1 species
ACUCCUACGGGAGGCAGCAGUGGGGAAUAUUGGACAAUGGGCGAAAGCCUGAUCCAGCCAUGCCGCGUGUGUGAAGAAGGUCUUCGGAUUGUAAAGCACUUUAAGUUGGGAGGAAGGGCAGUUACCUAAUACGUGAUUGUUUUGACGUUACCGACAGAAUAAGCACCGGCUAACUCUGUGCCAGCAGCCGCGGUAAUACAGAGGGUGCAAGCGUUAAUCGGAAUUACUGGGCGUAAAGCGCGCGUAGGUGGUUAGUUAAGUUGGAUGUGAAAUCCCCGGGGCUCAACCUGGGGAACUGCAUUCAAAACUGACUGACUAGAGUAUGGUAGAGGGUGGUGGAAUUUCCUGUGUAGCGGUGAAAUGCGUAGAUAUAGGAAGGAACACCAGUGGCGAAGGCGACCACCUGGACUGAUACUGACACUGAGGUGCGAAAGCGUGGGGAGCAAACAGGAUUAGACACCCUGGUAGCUACGAG